UACGUAGGGGGCUAGCGUUGUCCGGAAUCAUUGGGCGUAAAGAGCGUGUAGGCGGUCCGGUAAGUCCGCUGUGAAAGUCGGGGGCUCAACCCUCGAAUGCCGGUGGAUACUGUCGGGCUAGAGUACGGAAGAGGCGAGUGGAAUUCCUGGUGUAGCGGUGAAAUGCGUAGAUAUCAGGAGGAGCACCGGUGGUGUAGACGGCUAUCUGGACCGUAACUGACGCUGAGACACGAAAGCGUGGGUAGCAAACAGG
rnacentral:rRNA from 1 species